GACCGAACCAGAAUACUGAACACAAAUAGCAGCAGCAGUAGUAACACUUUUUCAAAGACCCACAAGUUAACAAGGGAGCACAAGGAAAAAACUUACAGAGACUCAAAAGAACAUAAAAGUGCCUUCAAAGAACCUUCCAGGGAACACAACAAAUCUUCCAAAGAAUCCUUUAAGAAACCCAAAGAAAACAAACCACUAAAAGAUGAAAAAAUAGGUCCUAAAAUAGCCUUCCAGGAACCCAAACUCAUGUCCAAGGAGCCAAAAUCUGAAAAAAAACAUGUUGUUACCGUAACAGGUGGGGUGCAGCAAGAAAAGAAGACCCCUACAAAAAGACCCUCUGUUUCUGACUCUGAUGAACGUCCUAAAAAAAACAGAAAAAGAAGUGACUCGGGCUCAUUACUUGGAAGUUUUUCUAGCACUCCACCACUGACUUUUACUUGUUCAGCUGACAAAAAACAGAAGAAGCAUAGAUGUCAACUCAAGGUGAGGAGAGUCAAAAUUGAAGAUGAUGCACUGGAAAGGAAGACACCAACUCUGCCACCAUUUGAAGAUAUUGUAGAUCCUAAUGGUUCUGAUGUGGAGGAAAACACAUCCUCCAAAUCUGAA